GUGUAACUCAGUAGGUAGGGUGUUUGCCUAGCAAGCACAAGGCCCUGGGUUCAAUCCUCNGCAC
rnacentral:tRNA from 1 species